rnacentral:rRNA from 1 species
CCUACGGGUGGCAGCAGUGAGGAAUAUUGGUCAAUGGGCGCGAGCCUGAACCAGCCAAGUCGCGUGAGGAAAGACGGUCCUAUGGAUUGUAAACCUCUUUUGUCGGGGAGCAAAAGACGCCACGCGUGGCGUUCCGAGAGUACCCGAAGAAAAAGCAUCGGCUAACUCCGUGCCAGCAGCCGCGGUAAUACGGAGGAUGCGAGCGUUAUCCGGAUUUAUUGGGUUUAAAGGGUGCGCAGGCGGAAGGUCAAGUCAGCGGUAAAAUUGAGGGGCUCAACCUCUUCGAGCCGUUGAAACUGGUUUGCUUGAGUGAGCGAGAAGUAGGCGGAAUGCGUGGUGUAGCGGUGAAAUGCAUAGAUAUCACGCAGAACGGCGAUUGCGAAGGCAGCAUACCGGCGCUCAACUGACGCUCAUGCACGAAAGUGUGGGUAUCGAACAGGAUUAUAUACCCCAG